rnacentral:rRNA from 1 species
GUGACAGCAGCCGCGGUAAUACGGAGGGUGCAAGCGUUAUCCGGAUUCACUGGGUUUAAAGGGUGCGUAGGUGGGUCUGUAAGUCAGUGGUGAAAUCUCCGUGCUUAACAUGGAAACUGCCAUUGAUACUAUAGAUCUUGAAUUUUCUGGAGGUAAGCGGAAUAUGUCAUGUAGCGGUGAAAUGCUUAGAUAUGACAUAGAACACCAAUUGCGAAGGCAGCUUACUACGGGAACAUUGACACUGAGGCACGAAAGCGUGGGGAUCAAACAGGAUUAGAAACCCGAGUAGUCC